GGCAACGUGGCUGAGUGGUUAAAGCGUAUGACUAGAAAUGCAUCUAAGCAUUAUAUGCAUCUAGAGAUCAUAUCCCUUCGGGGUCACAGGUUCGAGUCCUGUCGUUGUCG